GUGCUCCCCGCCUGCAGUCCCGCCGUUCACAUCCACGCGCGAUUUCACCCGCACGCACACGUACCAUGCACACUCAGCUGCCGGACGGGUUUGUUCCCCUACGAUCGGCUUAAGCGCGCUCAGUUACAGUGCAGGAGCUCUGGCGACCGGAACGCGCGCUGGUCCAGUGUCUGAGUGUCGGUGGAACGUUUGUUAAAAAGCUCGCGAGUGCUCCCACCCUCGUUGUCUGUCGAAUGUCUGUCUGUGUUUUGUGGGUCGCAAUAACGGAGGUGGAAUAAUAGUACGAGAAGGGAACGUAAAGAGAAACAAAAUAGUGCCAAACAGCAAGUGCGAACGCCGCACUGUGUCCGCGUGUGUACUCUUCUUGGACCCUUCGUGUGUGUGGUUUGCUGGUGUAUCGUGCUGCAAAAGGUGUACGGCAAAAAAAAAACAAAAAAAAAAAAUAAUUCGUUCUGAAAGAUCAACUCAAGGUAAUACAUAGGCGAUACUCGUUGUCAUCGUUAAAUUUCUAAUCAAAUCG